UACGUAGGGUGCGAGCGUUGUCCGGAAUUAUUGGGCGUAAAGAGCUUGUAGGCGGUUUGUCGCGUCUGGCGUGAAAAUCCGGGGCUCAACCCCGGACUUGCGGUGGGUACGGGCAGACUAGAGUGUGGUAGGGGAGACUGGAAUUCCUGGUGUAGAGGUGAAAUGCGCAGAUAUCAGGAGGAACACCGAUGGCGAAGGCAGGUCUCUGGGCCACUACUGACGCUGAGAAGCGAAAGCGUGGGGAGCGAACAGG
rnacentral:rRNA from 1 species